rnacentral:rRNA from 1 species
UACGUAGGGUGCAAGCGUUGUCCGGAAUUAUUGGGCGUAAAGAGCUCGUAGGCGGUUUGUCGCGUCGGCCGUGAAAACUUGGGCUUAACCCCAAGCCUGCGGUCGAUACGGGCAGACUUGAGUUCGGCAGGGGAGACUGGAAUUCCUGGUGUAGCGGUGAAAUGACGCAGAUAUCAGGAGGAACACCGGUGGCGAAGGCGGGUCUCUGGGCCGAUACUGACGCUGAGGAGCGAAAGCGUGGGGAGCGAACAGG